GUCAGAAUGGCCGAGCGGUCUAAGGCGCCAGACUCAAGGUUGUGCACCUUCUCCAAAACAGAGAGAUUUCUGGUCUCCGAAUGGAGGCGUGGAUUCAAGUCCCACUUCUGACA
rnacentral:tRNA from 1 species